rnacentral:tRNA from 1 species
GGGCGAUUAGCUCAGUUGGCUAGAGCGCAGCUGUCACAUAGCUGAGGUCACUGGUUCGAGCCCAGUAUCGCCCA